GACUAUGGCCAUACCACCCUGAACGGGCCCACUCUCGUCUGAUCUCGGAAGGUAAGCAGGGUCAGGCCUGGUUAGUACUUGGAUGGGAGACUGCCCGGGAAUACCCAGUGCUGUGGGGU
rnacentral:rRNA from 1 species